rnacentral:rRNA from 1 species
GAUGAACGCUGGCGGCGUGCCUAAUACAUGCAAGUCGAGCGGACGGACGAGAAGCUUGCUUUUCUGAUGUUAGCGGCGGACGGGUGAGUAACACGUGGAUAACCUACCUAUAAGACUGGGAUAACUUCGGGAAACCGGAGCUAAUACCGGAUAAUAUUUUGAACCGCAUGGUUCAAAAGUGAAAGACGGUCUUGCUGUCACUUAUAGAUGGAUCCGCGCUGCAUUAGCUAGUUGGUAAGGUAACGGCUUUCCAAGGCAACGAUGCAUAGCCGACCUGAGAGGGUGAUCGGCCACACUGGAACUGAGACACGGUCCAGACUCCUACGGGAGGCAGCAGUAGGGAAUCUUCCGCAAUGGGCGAAAGCCUGACGGAGCAACGCCGCGUGAGUGAUGAAGGUCUUCGGAUCGUAAAACUCUGUUAUUAGGGAAGAACAUAUGUGUAAGUAACUGUGCACAUCUUGACGGUACCUAAUCAGAAAGCCACGGCUAACUACGUG